rnacentral:rRNA from 1 species
AUCAUGGCUCAGAUUGAACGCUGGCGGCAGGCUUAACACAUGCAAGUCGAGCGGAGAGAGGUAGCUUGCUACUGAUCUUAGCGGCGGACGGGUGAGUAAUGCUUAGGAAUCUGCCUAUUAGUGGGGGACAACAUUUCGAAAGGAAUGCUAAUACCGCAUACGUCCUACGGGAGAAAGCAGGGGAUCUUCGGACCUUGCGCUAAUAGAUGAGCCUAAGUCGGAUUAGCUAGUUGGUGGGGUAAAGGCCUACCAAGGCGACGAUCUGUAGCGGGUCUGAGAGGAUGAUCCGCCACACUGGGACUGAGACACGGCCCAGACUCCUACGGGAGGCAGCAGUGGGGAAUAUUGGACAAUGGGCGCAAGCCUGAUCCAGCCAUGCCGCGUGUGUGAAGAAGGCCUUAUGGUUGUAAAGCACUUUAAGCGAGGAGGAGGCUACUUUAGAUAAUACCUAGAGAUAGUGGACGUUACUCGCAGAAUAAGCACCGGCUAACUCUGUGCCAGCAGCCGCGGUAAUACAGAGGGUGCAAGCGUUAAUCGGAUUUACUGGGCGUAAAGCGCGCGUAGGCGGCUAAUUAAGUCAAAUGUGAAAUCCCCGAGCUUAACUUGGGAAUUGCAUUCGAUACUGGUUAGCUAGAGUGUGGGAGAGGAUGGUAGAAUUCCAGGUGUAGCGGUGAAAUGCGUAGAGAUCUGGAGGAAUACCGAUGGCGAAGGCAGCC